rnacentral:rRNA from 1 species
UGUUGCGGUUAAAGCUCGUAGUUGGAUCUGUGUCCCGCGCCGUCGGUUCACCGCCUGUCGGUGUUAAACUGGCGUGUAUGCGGGACGUCCUGUCGGUGGCGGAACGGGGCUUCGUCAAGCCGUAGGGGCAGUUCAGGUUCUCCCUGCGACUCCCUGAAGGCUGGCGUAUGCUUCCGGCCGCCUUGUCAAUCCCGCCGCGGUGCUCUUCACCGAGUGUCGAGGCGGGCCGGCACGUUUACUUUGAACAAAUUAGAGUGCUUUAAGCAGGCUCUUUCCCGCCUGUAUAUUGUGUGCAUGGAAUAAUGGAAUAGGACCUCGGUUCUAUUUUGUUGGUUUUCGGAAUCUGAGGUAAUGAUCAAUGGGGACAGGCGGGGGCAUUCGUAUUGCGACGUUAGAGGUGAAAUUCUUGGAUCGUCGCAAGACGGACCGAAGCGAAAGCAUUUGCCAAGUAUGUUCUCGUCGAUCAAGAACGAAAGUUAGAGGUUCGAAGGCGAUCAGAUACCGCCCUAGUUCUAACCAUAAACUAUGCCUGCCAGCGAUCCGCCGGCGUUCCUCCGAUGACCCGGCGGGCAGCUUCCGGGAAACCAGAGCUUUUGGGUUCCGGGGGAAGUAUGGUUGCAAAGCUGAAACUUAAAGGAAUUGACGGAAGGGCACCACCAGGAGUGGAGCCUGCGGCUUAAUUUGACUCAACACGGGAAACCUCACCAGGCCCGGACACCGGAAGGAUUGACAGAUUGAGAGCUCUUUCUUGAUUCGGUGGGUGGUGGUGCAUGGCCGUUCUUAGUUGGUGGAGCGAUUUGUCUGGUUAAUUCCGAUAACGAACGAGACUCUAGCCUACUAACUAGACGUUUCCGGUAUCCACAAUCGUGCUACCGGCGAGUAAAUUUCUUCUUAGAGGGACAGGCGGCUUCUAGCCGCACGAGACUGAGCAAUAACAGGUCUGUGAUGCCCUUAGAUGUCCUGGGCCGCACGCGCGCUACACUGAAGGAAUCAGCGUGUCUUCCCUGUCCGAAAGGACCGGGUAACCCGCUGAACCUCCUUCGUGCUAGGGAUUGGGGCUUGCAAUUGUUCCCCAUGAACGAGGAAUUCCCAGUAAGCGCGAGUCAUAAGCUCGCGUUGAUUACGUCCCUGCCCUUUGUACACACCGCCCGUCGCUACUACCGAUUGAAUGAUUUAGUGAGGUCUUCGGACUGGUGCGCGGAGGUGGCUUCUGUUGCUUCCGAUGUUGUCGGAAAGAUGACCAAACUUGAUCAUA